AGCUGACUGAGCAAGAAAAAAGAAUUGCUUUUGGCUCAGAGAAAAACAUUAUGCUUGUUCUCACUCAAAUGGAAAAACAUCCGGAUAAUUUCAUCAUUCAAGUAGCAGCUGUAGCUUGUGUAUUUAACAACAUCAUGGCAAGAGGAGGGGAAGCAAACCCAGAAGUGCAUCCUCAUUUCUUAAGGUAAAAUUAUUACUGAAUACAUGAUUAAAUGUGUUUAAAACACUCCCAAAGUGGUAUUAGAGGGCUGGUGUUGUCAAGCAACAAAACAUAGCAAUAGUUGUCUUGGCAACCAGGUGGUCACCUUGGUAAUCAAGCCACAGCCCACCUUUACGCACCUAUCAGCACAACACA